GUGGGGAAUAUUGGGCAAUGGGCGAAAGCCUGACCCAGCAACGCCGCGUGAAGGAAGAAGGUCUUCGGAUCGUAAACUUCUAUCCUUGGUGAAGAUAAUGACGGUAGCCGAGAAGGAAGCCCCGGCUAACUACGUGCCAGCAGCCGCGGUAAUACGUAGGGGGCAAGCGUUGUCCGGAAUGAUUGGGCGUAAAGGGCGCGUAGGCGGCCUGGUAAGUCUGGAGUGAAAGUCCUGCUUUUAAGGUGGGAAUUGCUUUGGAUACUGUCGGGCUUGAGUGCAGGAGAGGUAAGUGGAAUUCCCGGUGUAGCGGUGAAAUGCGUAGAGAUCGGGAGGAACACCAGUGGCGAAGGCGACUUACUGGGCCGUAACUGACGUUGAUGCGCGAAAGCGUGGGGAGCGAACAGGAUUAGAUACCCUGGUAGUCC
rnacentral:rRNA from 1 species